GACGAACGCUGGCGGCGUGCUUAACACAUGCAAGUCGAACGCUGAAGCUUGGUGCUUGCACUGGGUGGAUGAGUGGCGAACGGGUGAGUAAUACGUGAGUAACCUGCCCUUGACUCUGGGAUAAGCCUGGGGAAACUGGGGUCUAAUACUGGAUACGACAUGUCAUCGCAUGGUGGUGUGUGGAAAGGGUUUUACUGGUUUUGGAUGGGCUCACGGCCUAUCAGCUUGUUGGUGGGGUAAUGGCUCACCAAGGCGACGACGGGUAGCCGGCCUGAGAGGGUGACCGGCCACACUGGGACUGAGACACGGCCCAGACUCCUACGGGAGGCAGCAGUGGGGAAUAUUGCACAAUGGGCGGAAGCCUGAUGCAGCGACGCCGCGUGAGGGAUGACGGCCUUCGGGUUGUAAACCUCUUUCAGCACGGAAGAAGCGAAAGUGACGGUACGUGCAGAAGAAGCGCCGGCUAACUACGUG
rnacentral:rRNA from 1 species